rnacentral:rRNA from 1 species
UACGUAGGGUGCAAGCGUUAAUCGGAAUUACUGGGCGUAAAGCGUGCGCAGGCAGUUUCGCAAGUCAGAUGUGAAAGCCCCGGGCUUAACCUGGGAACUGCAUUUGAAACUACGAGGCUAGAGUGUGUCAGAGGGGGGUAGAAUUCCACGUGUAGCAGUGAAAUGCGUAGAGAUGUGGAGGAAUACCGAUGGCGAAGGCAGCCCCCUGGGAUAACACUGACGCUCAUGCACGAAAGCGUGGGGAGCAAACAGG